rnacentral:misc_RNA from 1 species
AACUUUUGGCAACGGAUCACUUGGCUCUCGCAUCGAUGAAGAACGCAGCGAAAUGCGAUAAGUAAUGUGACUUGCAGAAUUCAGUGAAUCAUCGAAUCUUUGAACGCACCUUGCGCUCCUUGGUAUUCCGAGGAGCAUGCCUGUUUGAGUGUCAUUAAUAUAAUCAACCUUUUCUUGUUUUGAGAAUGGUUGGAUGUGGAGGUUUGCUGGCCUCUCUCAAAAGGUUCAGCUCCCCUGAAAUGCAUUAGCAGAACAACCUUUGCUCAUUGGUGUGAUAACUAUCUACGCUUAUGAAUACGGAGGGGCAGUUCAGCUUUCUAACGGUCUUUGGACAAUUCAUCAUUAAUGUGACCUCAAAUCAGGUAGGACUACCCGCUGAACUUAAGCAUAUCAAUAAGCGGAGGCU